rnacentral:tRNA from 1 species
GCAGUCGUGGCCGAGUGGUUAAGGCGUUGGACUCGAAAUCCAAUGGGGUCUCCCCGCGCAGGUUCGAAUCCUGCCGACUGCG